UAAUCCAUCGAGAUCUUAAGCCGGAAAAUGUAUUGAUAGACGAAGACUUCCAGUUGAAGAUCGCUGACUUUGGGAUAGCGUGCGAGGAAGAGUACUGUGACAUGUUGGCUGAUGAUCCAGGGACUUACAGGUGGAUGGCACCUGAAAUGAUUAAACGUAAACCGCACGGGAGAAAGGCUGAUGUGUAUAGCUUUGGACUAGUUUUGUGGGAGAUGGUAGCUGGAGCAAUCCCUUAUGAGGACAUGAAUCCUAUUCAAGCUGCUUUUGCAGUCGUGCACAAGGUAAAGUGUGUUAUGACUAUUAUGGUUCAGUUGUUUCAACCAUUUGAGAUCUUAUAAACGUUGAUUUGUGGUUCAGAACAUUAGGCCGGCUGUUCCGGGAGAUUGUCCAGCGGCUAUGAAGGCAUUGAUAGAGCAGUGCUGGUCGGUUGCACCGGAUAAGAGACCUGAGUUUUGGCAGAUAGUGAAAGUGCUUGAGGAGUUUGAGGAUUCACUGGAACGUGAAGGGUGUUUAAAUCUGGCUUCGAACAAGAUAUGCAAGGAUCCAAGGAAAGGUCUGAAACAUUGGAUUCAGAAACUUGGACCGGCCCAAGGAGGAGGCAGCAGCAGCAGUGCUCUUGGUGGAUCGGCUUUGCCUAAGCCUAAAUUCGCUUGAGAGAUGUUGCAAGUGUCUUUUUGUAAAUUUAUAUGUAAAAUACAAAACAAAAAGGUUUUGUAUUUGUGAUGUGUUGUAUGAUCCUGUCCUGUUUUCGUGGGUUGUGAUGUGAUCUGUAAUCUUUCAUCUUCUUCUCUAGAUUUGUUGUGUAAUGACAAUCAAACUGGGGAAUGGUUUUGUGAUUCGAUGUUUAUGGGCUUCACUAACGUUUAGAGUCUUUAGCGGACAUAUAAUAAACGGGGACCGGACAAGCCCGUUUUAACAUUCCUAAUUUUUUCGACUAGUUCCAACAAAAUGUAACAGUUAUCUAGAGGAAAAUAAAUAUAACAUUCAUCUAUAAACAGAUAUAAGAUAACAUUUCUUUGGCAUAAAGAAACGCAUUGAAACGAAAUCUCGCUUUUAUUCUUUUUUUUUUCCUAUAGAGGAAAACAUAGAAUUGAAUUGAAGAUGGUUUUAGAGAAAACCUUUAUCUUCGGUAAAUGCUGAUCCCUACCCUCCGUUCCAUUAAAAUAGAUUUUUUUGAAAAAAUGUUUGUUUCACAAAGAUGUAUUUUUUGUGUUUUCUAUGAAAAAAAUUGUAAACUUGAGAAAAUUAAUUGAAUUACUAUUGGUUAAAAGUUAUUGAAAAUUAAAAAUUACAGAAAACGAUACAUUUAUUAUGGUAGUUUAAUGUGUUUUCUUAAUAUGUGUGAAAAUAUUAAAAAGUCUAUCUUUGUGAAACGGAGGGAAUAUGAAAAAAAUAUUUUUUGCAAUAUCUUGUUGACAGUAAUUAAUUUUUUUUUUAAUAUUUAAUUAUAAAAUACAGUAAUUUAUUUUCUCUGUUUUUACUAUAAUGUAAUUAAUAGUUGUUAGUAAUAACAAACAUUGUCACAUUGUUGACAAAAAAGAAGAAGUAAUAACACAUUAGUUGGUGAUAAUGAUGUAACAUUUGAACAACACACUUUAUUUUAAAUAAUUAAGGUGUUGCUUGAGAGAAAAAAUAUGUUCAAAUGUUACAUCUUGCUGCACUAAACUCUUGUUGCUAUCUACUUGAAAAUCAACCACCAAUACCUUUUUUUUUUCUUUUUUUUACUGAUUCAAAGGGAAUCCAAAGAAGUGAUGGAAGUAGCCAAAUAUUUACCCCAUUUACCCAAAAGGUAAAGAAAACAAAUACUCGUGGCCCAUGAUGGGAUGUGUUGAUUCAGCAACUCACCAGAUACAAGAUCUAUAAAAGCAUGUAUGUUUGAUAAAAAAAAAAAAACAUGUAUGUUAAAAGUUAAAACAAAUCAAUGGAUCUUAAUCUUUACUCCACCGGUUAAUUUUAAUUUUUAAACAUCUUACCAAAUAAAUGACCAAAUUAAGUUAAUUAGUAUAUUUAUGAUCGGUUGGCUGUUAUUAACAUUUGAUAAAUAUUCAUAUAAUUAUGAACAUGACAGAAUUAACUUUACAGUAAUUUAUACUCCAUCCGUUCUUUAAUGAUAGAUUUUUUAGAAAAAAAGUUUGUUUAAUAAAGAUAUAUUUUUGUGUUUUUUAUAAAAAAAAACUGUAAACUUCGAAAAAAUUAAUUGAAUUUAUUGAAUUAUUAUUGGUUAAAAGUUAUUGAAAAUUGAAAAUUACAGAAAAUAAUACAUUUAUUAUGGUAGUUUAAUAUGUUUUUUAAUAUGUGUGAAAAUACUAAAAAUUCUAUUUUGGCGGAACAGAGAUAAAGUAUUUUUUAAGAAAAUAAAUAACGCAGGAAUUAAAGUACAGAAUUUAAUAUAAAAUUAUAAAUACGUAUUAACACGCACUAAAACUCUAAAAGGGACAGCUAAAAGCGAAAAAGGUUAAAGUGUUGACAACGAAACGCAACGCAACUCAACUCUCUAAUCCUAGACAUGUCUCUCUGACCCAUCCAACUCCACUCUCUUCCAUUCCACUGAUCCACCCCUGAUCCCUUAUUAGCCAUGACUCACCGAACCCAGCGCCGUCGCCGUCGUCACUCCGCCGCCUGCCACCGUCACCCCACUUCCAACCCCACCGCCGGUCUAUGUGCCGCCUGUCUCCGCGAACGCCUCUCCACCAUUGAAUCUCUCUACUGCUGUGGAUGUUUUGAUCCGCCACCUUUUAUAUUAGGAAUAUAGGUGCUCUUGGCUCGACAUUUUGUGUUCUAUUUUACGAGAGUCCUACACCUUUUUGAAUAUAAAAAAGAGUACAGGAUGGAGCUCGAGGAGAAUAGAAAGUUUUUAUUCCUUUCGCAGGAGUAAGGAUCUAGGGUUAGUGCGAAUCAAUAAGUUGGAACAACUUCGUAAGUCUUUUUAUUUUUAUAUUGAAAAAAAGCCCUUUCAAGUAAUUUUACAAUGGAAAAGGAAAUUUUCGUAAAAGUGUAAAAUUCUUUGAAUUAAAAGUCUAUCAUGCGUGAAUCAAGCGUUUGUAUGAUUCUUUGAUAGAAAGAAAAGAAAUCAUAAACAAAAUAAGGGGCUUGUUGCUGCCCUUUUUUAAUAAAACGAUCAAGAUCACCGAAGUAAUGUCUAAACCCAAAGAUUCAAAGUAAGGAUAAAGAAUCCUGAAACAAGGAAAUCCCUUUUUCAAUUGUUUGAACAACUAGAUCAGAAUGAAGAAUCAAAAUUGAUUCGAAAAAAUGAGACAAACAAAAAAAGGUUAGAGACUACUCAAUAAAAAGAGUACUUAAGGAGUCUCUGGUGAGAUAUUUGAGAGUUAUUUAACUUGAGUUACGAGAGUACGAAUGUUACGAACGCUUUUUAUGAAAAAAAAUAGUUAGGGUUUCAAUACUGGCUAAUUAAUUUAAUGUUUGAAUUUUAUAAAGAGAGUUAACUUAUACUCAUUGCAUUUUUUUCUCGAGCCGUAUGAGGCCAAAGCCUCGUAUACGUUUCUCGGGGGGGGUUUAAUUUUUUUUUGUUAUCUUGAAUCCUGGACAAACAGGAAACCCUACGACCUAACCCGCAGGAACAAGACCAUCCAAGAACAUUACCACACUCUCCAUGUACUGAGAGUGGAACUCGGCUCCACAGUUUGCUUCGUAGUGACUCGGGGAUGGAUCGAGCGAAAAGGUCAGAAGAUGAAGCAGCCAGACCGCUUUUGCCAACCCCAAAAACUCUUUAUAGAACUGACUUCUUCGAUGGUUACCAGCUAAAACCAUCUCCCGCUGCUCCGAGUCCCCGAACAAGGACUCUGUGGUGAAUGACGGAAAGGUACUUCUUCGAGCAUAACUUACCAAAAUGGCAAGUCGGUAAGACCCCAAGAAGCUCCAUGGGAUCCAUUGCUUUCAUGUCUUCGAAUUGAACAAAGCAGUCACGACGGUAUUGAUCAGGGCUGAUAAGAGAAGACAGGCUUCCAGUCCAUGUAAAACUUCUCGUGGUCGAUCGAAUCCUUGGAAGAUUUAUAUUGGGCCAAAACUAAGCCUUCAAAAUUUAUUUUAGUAUCUGAAGUUCCGAAACAUCAAAAAUAAUAAUUUAAGCUUCUCCACCAGAUAUAGAAUAUUAAAAGCAUAUCAUAGAUGCUGACAGAUUCGACCCACACAAAAAAAAAUAAAAAUCAUAGAUGCUGAUAAGAGAGUUCGAAAACGCUGUCGUUUUACACGUAACUUUCUCAAAAAUUCCAAAAAAGAGGUGUCAAAAAGGUCUUCUCAGAAUCCAAACCGUCAUAUAUGGUUUAAGCUCCUCCCAUCGAUUCCUUCUUCCUCCUCCGCCUUCAAAUCGCCGGAUCUUCUCGAUUCCGAUUCCCUUCUCCCUCCCUGAUCCCGUGUUUCAAAGGUAAACAUUUUAGCUUCCCGAUUCGUUUGAUAGAUCCCACCAUUAUCAUAUCCGCAAUAGCUUCUUGCUGAUUUGGCGUAUGAUUGGGUCUAAUUCAGGAUUUGCGGCGAUUUGGUGGAUGCGUGGAGAAAAUUUGUAUUCGUAGAAAAGCUUUAUCUCUUUUGGUUUUUAGGGUUUGUGGGUUAAUGGUUGAAGAGAGAAAGAUAGGGUUUUGAAAAAGGUUUUGGUUGGAGAUUGCUUAAAAGCAUACGACUUUGGACUUAGGAGGACUAUGGAUGAAGAGACUUCUUCUUGGAUUAGGAGGACUAAGUUCUCUCAUACUGUUUCUUACCGUCUCAACUCCUCAAAGCUAGCCUCUUUCCCUCUUAAGGUCAACCAAGAGAAUGUUUCUCAACUUAAAACAAGCCCCCAGAAGUUGCUUUCAAGUAGUUCACCGAAUGUAUGUGUUGUUGUUGAUUCGGAAACACAGACAAACCCUGUAACUAAUAAACAGAGAUCCGUCUCUCCCUCCCCUCAGAUGUCUCUCCCUGAUGUCUUUAAAGAAGCUAGGUCUGAGCGUAAGAGAUUCUCCACUCCGCAUCCGAGAAGAAUGGACUCUGAAAAGGGAAUGAAGGUUAAGUUAUCUCAUAAAGACUCCUUUGAGAAGAGGAGAUCGUUCAACUUGCGGUCUCCUUCGGCUCCCAUCAGAGAUCUUAGCACUCUGAGGAUUCAAGAGAGGGUGAGCAAGAGCAAGAAGGACACCGGAUGGUCUAAGCUUUUUGAUAACGGUAGUGGUCGUAGAGUCAGUGCUGCUGAAGCUUCUGAGGAGUACCGUAUUGAUAUGUCGAAGCUCUUCUUUGGGCUUAGGUUCGCUCAUGGGCUGUACAGCCGACUGUACCAUGGAAAGUAUGAAGAUAAAGCUGUUGCUGUGAAGCUUAUCACUGUCCCUGAUGAUGACGAGAAUGGAUGCUUGGGAGCACGGUUAGAGAAGCAGUUUACCAAGGAAGUCACCCUCUUGUCUCGGUUGUCUCAUCCAAAUGUUAUCAAGGUGAUUCCACUCUCUUUUGGCCAAUAUAGGUGGAAUGAUGUCUAUGGUUUGUUCUAACUUUUCUUCUCUUGUCUGUGUGCUAAAACAGUUUGUGGGAGCGUAUAAAGAUCCGCCUGUAUACUGUGUCCUCACUGAAUAUUUACCUGAAGGAUCUUUAAGAUCUUUUCUACACAAGCCUGAGAAUAGGUCUCUUUCUUUGAAGAAGCUUAUAGAGUUUGCUCUAGAUAUCGCAAGAGGAAUGGAAUAUAUCCACUCACGACGAGUAAUCCAUCGAGAUCUUAAGCCGGAAAAUGUAUUGAUAGACGAAGACUUCCAGUUGAAGAUCGCUGACUUUGGGAUAGCGUGCGAGGAAGAGUACUGUGACAUGUUGGCUGAUGAUCCAGGGACUUACAGGUGGAUGGCACCUGAAAUGAUUAAACGUAAACCGCACGGGAGAAAGGCUGAUGUGUAUAGCUUUGGACUAGUUUUGUGGGAGAUGGUAGCUGGAGCAAUCCCUUAUGAGGACAUGAAUCCUAUUCAAGCUGCUUUUGCAGUCGUGCACAAG
rnacentral:lncRNA from 1 species